UGUGGGAGCGGGCUUGCUCGCGAAUGCGUUGUGUCAGCCAACAUUUCUUUAUCUGACCCAUUGCAUUCGCGAGCAAGCCCGCUCCCACA
rnacentral:antisense_RNA from 1 species